rnacentral:rRNA from 1 species
UGGGGAAUAUUGGACAAUGGGCGAAAGCCUGAUCCAGCCAUGCCGCGUGUGUGAAGAAGGUCUUCGGAUUGUAAAGCACUGUAAGUUGGGAGGAAGGGUUGUAGAUUAAUACUCUGCAAUUUUGACGUUACCGACAGAAUAAGCACCGGCUAACUCUGUGCCAGCAGCCGCGGUAAUACAGAGGGUGCAAGCGUUAAUCGGAAUUACUGGGCGUAAAGCGCGCGUAGGUGGUUUGUUAAGUUGGAUGUGAAAUCCCCGGGCUCAACCUGGGAACUGCAUCCAAAACUGGCAAGCUAGAGUAUGGUAGAGGGUGGUGGAAUUUCCUGUGUAGCGGUGAAAUGCGUAGAUAUAGGAAGGAACACCAGUGGCGAAGGCGACCACCUGGACUGAUACUGACACUGAGGUGCGAAAGCGUGGGGAGCAAACA